rnacentral:rRNA from 1 species
GACGAACGCUGGCGGCGUGCUUAACACAUGCAAGUCGAACGGAAAGGCCCUGCUUUUGUGGGGUGCUCGAGUGGCGAACGGGUGAGUAACACGUGAGUAACCUGCCCUUGACUUUGGGAUAACUUCAGGAAACUGGGGCUAAUACCGGAUAGGAGCUCCUGCUGCAUGGUGGGGGUUGGAAAGUUUCGGCGGUUGGGGAUGGACUCGCGGCUUAUCAGCUUGUUGGUGGGGUAGUGGCUUACCAAGGCUUUGACGGGUAGCCGGCCUGAGAGGGUGACCGGCCACAUUGGGACUGAGAUACGGCCCAGACUCUUACGGGAGGCAGCAGUGGGGAAUAUUGCACAAUGGGCGGAAGCCUGAUGCAGCAACGCCGCGUGCGGGAUGAAGGCCUUCGGGUUGUAAACCGCUUUCGCCUGUGACGAAGCGUGAGUGACGGUAAUGGGUAAAGAAGCACCGGCUAACUACGUG